GACGAACGCUGGCGGCGUGCCUAAUACAUGCAAGUCGAGCGAAGCGGCGGAUGGGUGAGUAACGCGUGGGUAACCUGCCCUUUAGUCUGGGAUACCAUUUGGAAACAGAUGCUAAUACCGGCUACUAACGGAUGGACAAGCGGUGCAUUAGCUAGUUGGUAAGGUAUCGGCUUACCAAGGAGAUGAUGCAGAGCCGAGUUGAGAGACUGAUCGGCCACAUGGGAACUGAAACACGGCCCAAGCUCCUACGGGAGGCAGCAGUAGGAAAUCUUCCACAAUGGACGAAAGUCUGAUAGAGCAACUCCGCGUGAGUGAAGAAGGGUUUCGGAUCGUAAAGCUCUGUUGUUGGUGAAGCGGUAAUCAACCAGAAAGUCACGGCUAACGACGUGCCAGCAGCCGCGGUAAUAC
rnacentral:rRNA from 1 species